rfam:Medicago truncatula strain A17 chromosome 5, whole genome shotgun sequence.
UUAUAAGUAAAAGUCAACUUUUUAGAUUCAUUCAAUAAAUGAUGUAUUUGGUCAAUAAUAUAGACUAAAUACAUAAUUUAUUGAAUGAACCUAAAAAGUUGAUUUUUGCUUAUAA